AGCUUGCUCCUGGAUUCAGCGGCGGACGGGUGAGUAAUGCCUAGGAAUCUGCCUGGUAGUGGGGGACAACGUUUCGAAAGGAACGCUAAUACCGCAUACGUCCUACGGGAGAAAGCAGGGGACCUUCGGGCCUUGCGCUAUCAGAUGAGCCUAGGUCGGAUUAGCUUGUUGGUGAGGUAAUGGCUCACCAAGGCGACGAUCCGUAACUGGUCUGAGAGGAUGAUCAGUCACACUGGAACUGAGACACGGUCCAGACUCCUACGGGAGGCAGCAGUGGGGAAUAUUGGACAAUGGGCGAAAGCCUGAUCCAGCCAUGCCGCGUGUGUGAAGAAGGUCUUCGGAUUGUAAAGCACUUUAAGUUGGGAGGAAGGGUUGUAGAUUAAUACUCUGCAAUUUUGACGUUACCGACAGAAUAAGCACCGGCUAACUCUGUGCCAGCAGCCGCGGUAAUACAGAGGGUGCAAGCGUUAAUCGGAAUUACUGGGCGUAAAGCGCGCGUAGGUGGUUUGUUAAGUUGGAUGUG
rnacentral:rRNA from 1 species